CCUACGGGUGGCUGCAGUCGAGAAUUUUUCUCAAUGGGCGAAAGCCUGAAGGAGCGACGCCGCGUGGGGGAUGAAUGGCUUCGGCCCGUAAACCCCUGUCAUUUGCGAUCAAACCUUACGACCUAACACGUCGUGAGCUGAUAGUAGCGGAAGAGGAAGGGACGGCUAACUCUGUGCCAGCAGCCGCGGUAAUACAGAGGUCCCAAGCGUUGUUCGGAUUCACUGGGCGUAAAGGGUGCGUAGGCGGUCGGGUAAGUCUGACGUGAAAUCUUCAA
rnacentral:rRNA from 1 species